GACGGGUAGCUGGUCUGAGAGGACGACCAGUCACACUGGAACUGAGACACGGUCCAGACACCUACGGGUGGCAGCAGUCGAGAAUUUUUCUCAAUGGGGGCAACCCUGAAGGAGCGACGCCGCGUGGAGGAUGAAGGCUUUCGGGUUGUAAACUCCUGUCAUUUGAGAACAAGGUGCAAGUAUUAACUGUACUCGCAUUGAUAGUAUCAGAAGAGGAAGGGACGGCUAACUCUGUGCCAGCAGCCGCGGUAAUACAGAGGUCCCNNNNNNNNNNNNNAGGAAGACCAGUGGCGAAGGCGGGUCUCUGGACAGUUCCUGACACUGAGGCACGAAGGCCAGGGGAGCAAACGGGAUUAGAUACCCCGGUAGUCCUGGCAGUAAACGGUGCACGUUUGGUGUGGGAGGAUUCGACCCCUUCCGCGCCGGAGCUAACGCGUUAAACGUGCCGCCUGGGGAGUACGGUCGCAAGAUUAAAACUCAAAGAAAUUGACGGGGGCCCGCACAAGCGGUGGAGUAUGUGGCUUAAUUCGAUGCAACGCGAAGAACCUUACCNNAACCCCUGUGAACUGUUGCCACCGGCGCAAGCCGAGCACUCUGUUCAGACUGCCCUGUGAAACGGGGAGGAAGGUGGGGACGACGUCAAGUCAGUAUGGCCCUUACGGCCUGGGCUGCACACGUACUACAAUGCCCAGUACAGAACGAUCCGAGACCGCGAGGUGGAGGAAAUCACUAAAACUGGGCCCAGUUCGGAUUGGAGUCUGCAACUCGACUCCAUGAAGCCGGAAUCGCUAGUAAUGCCGUAUCAGCUACGACGGCGUGAAUACGUUCCCGGGCCUUGUACACACCGCCCGUCACAUCAUGGAAGUCACUUGUAGCCGAAGCCGGCGCGCCAACCUAGCAAUAGGAAGCAGCCGCCUACGCUAUGAGCGGUAACUGGGAUGAAGUCGUAACAAGGUAGCCGUAGGGGAACCUGCGGCUG
rnacentral:rRNA from 1 species